ensembl:snRNA U6 U6 spliceosomal RNA
GUGCUCGCUUUGGCAGCACAUGUAGUAAAACUGGAACAAUACAGAGGAGAUUAGCAUGGCCCUGCACAAGGAGAUGCAGGCUGCCCUAUACCUCACAUUUUA